rnacentral:rRNA from 1 species
AGAGUUUGAUCCUGGCUCAGAACGAACGCUGGCGGCAGGCCUAACACAUGCAAGUCGAGCGCGCCUUCGGGUGAGCGGCGGACGGGUUAGUAACGCGUGGGAACGUACCCUUCUCUACGGAAUAGCCUUUGGAAACGAAGAGUAAUACCGUAUACGCCCUUUGGGGGAAAGAUUUAUCGGAGAAGGAUCGGCCCGCGUUAGAUUAGAUAGUUGGUGGGGUAACGGCCUACCAAGUCUACGAUCUAUAGCUGGUUUUAGAGGAUGAUCAGCAACACUGGGACUGAGACACGGCCCAGACUCCUACGGGAGGCAGCAGUGGGGAAUCUUAGACAAUGGGCGCAAGCCUGAUCUAGCCAUGCCGCGUGAGUGAUGAAGGCCUUAGGGUCGUAAAGCUCUUUCGCCUGUGAUGAUAAUGACAGUAGCAGGUAAAGAAACCCCGGCUAACUCCGUGCCAGCAGCCGCGGUAAUACGGAGGGGGUUAGCGUUGUUCGGAAUUACUGGGCGUAAAGCGCACGUAGGCGGAUUGGAAAGUUGGGGGUGAAAUCCCGGGGCUCAACCCCGGAACUGCCUCCAAAACUAUCAGUCUAGAGUUCGAGAGAGGUGAGUGGAAUUCCAAGUGUAGAGGUGAAAUUCGUAGAUAUUUGGAGGAACACCAGUGGCGAAGGCGGCUCACUGGCUCGAUACUGACGCUGAGGUGCGAAAGUGUGGGGAGCAAACAGGAUUAGAUACCCUGGUAGUCCACACCGUAAACGAUGAAUGCCAGUCGUCGGGCAGUAUACUGUUCGGUGACACACCUAACGGAUUAAGCAUUCCGCCUGGGGAGUACGGUCGCAAGAUUAAAACUCAAAGGAAUUGACGG